AGAAAUAGCCAAACCUGACAAAACAUGUCGGAAUAAUCUUCAAGCAUUAAUACAUUCAUUAAUCAGUAUCGCUAGUGAGUAUAAUGUAUCAUGUUAUUUGAUAAAGAUUCAUUCUGAAGUGCUCCAUAAACCUUUUGUGUUUUGUGAGUUUUAACAAGGAUGUCACAUGAGAUGAAAAAA